rnacentral:lncRNA from 1 species
UAGAAAAAAUUUUGUAAGUCAAAAUCGGGGGGCCAAGUUCACACCGAUGACAGAUCGGUUGUUCGGACAGCUGUUCCACUAGUGAUGCCACAAGCGAACGCCGCGCCGCGGAGCGGUCGUUUGGGUCACAGAAAAUUUGUCUUCGACUUCGUUGACGUGACUACUGCGAGUACUGUGACAGGUGUCACAGGUGAGGUGCGGUGUAAAUAUGUCGAAAUUGGUUCGAAAUUUGCCAAGACGCAAAGAAGAGGUUUACGAUCGUCUCAGAUGGGAUUCCUGCUCAGAAACGAUCUACAUGCAGUUCGCUGUUCGUUGGCACGUUUAUCAUCUUUUGCAACGUUCCAACAAGAAAUACGACGAAGCUAUCAAGUGCUAUUGCAUAGCGCUUAAAUGGUUUAAGGGAUAAUAUUUGGAUCCUCAGUGGUUUGUCACCGUUACAGAUACAAAUGAGAGAUUUGGAUGGCUACAAGGACAUAAUAUAUCGGAACUAUUUAUUCUGAGACUUAAGCGACGCUUCUUCUGGAUAGGUUUUCUCAUUUUGCGUUCAUUGUUUAUCCGAGGGAUUAUCUGAUGGCUCUCAAGAUUUCUCUUACGACUCCCCUGUGAUUUAGAAAAACUUCAUUUGGAUCGAAGCUCCGAUAAAACUGAUCAGUUGUUCGAUCCUACGGUUAGAGUUUUCGGGGUCGAUAGAGAACCUAUGGGUGUACUAACAAUUGAUUACGGUGUUAGUAGUGAUUCAGCCUACGUCACGGAAAAAGUCAGUACACACUGUUUUAUUCUUGAAGAUAUACGAAGAAAGAAAUGAUAGAACUUGCGUUUUUUUUCAAAGGAGCAGCGCGAACUUUGGUGAAGAGUGACGUGAUCGGUACUGAAAUUUCGGCACCAUUUAGGCUGGUAGUAGACAGCGUUGGAAAUCCUACGAACCCUAUGACCGAACCUGUAAAUUUGCAUCGACCCACCCGAAUGUUCAUAGCUGAUGUUAAAAAUUGACGAACAAUCGACAUCAGUUGGACUCACAUUUUUCUAAAAGAUGAUUAAUACUAAGCCGUGGAUCGAAUAAUUCGCAGCCGUAGUCAGUAAGAAAGGCAGAAGAAGAAAAAAUAAAGAAGAAAAAAGAGAAGAAUAAUCGACCAAUCGAAAAUGAGUAAAACGCUCAUAACUUUCAACAAAGUGAAAAAACUUUGCUCGAGGAGGGCAAGUGUUCGGAAUGACGAAUCGAUUUUUCAACAUUUUUCUAUAUUUAUCAGAUUUUUUGUUCAACUGCAAGUGAUUUUUCAACUACAUUCAAACCGAACUUUUUCACGUUUAUUGCGACCGUGAUUUGGAAAACAAAAUGCGUCGAAUAUAGGUGGGAUUAUAGAAAACUAUUUUAAUUUACUCAUCCGAUCCAUUGAAAACGAUGCAAAACUGUUGUUUUUUUUUACCCAUAUUACCUUGAUGUACUGAAUUUCUGGAAGAUGCAAUGAAAACAUUCGAUUUUUCAAAUAAGUAGUGUAAAGAAAUGGUAUCGAAAUAUUAUAAUGCCUGCUUU